AUGAACGAGGAUAAUAAUAAUUCCAGUCAGCAUGAAAACGUAACUCAUUCGCCAAAUUUUGAAUCACCGAGUGUCGAUAAACAACAGCCAUUCACUGUUGAUAUUUUUGAUCCACGGCACUAGGAUAAUCUGGAUGAUAAGGCUAGAGAUAUUUUAGUUGAGAAGGGUCCUAUAAGAAAUGUUGAUAUUGUGUUCCCUCCAGAUAGUAAUUCUAGUCGUUUUUCACAAACUUAUUAUUCCAGAAAAUUGAGCCCAUGA
rnacentral:rRNA from 1 species